GAGCGAGAGUGUAGGUGUUUCCGGCCAAUUCAUCCUAAUUCUCUCCGGCGACAGAUGAUAACUAACCGAGCCAAGCGUGACCUCGCAACUCGCUUUGACUGCUAUUUACAUACGGGGAGAACAAGGCGGCCAGAACGUGAAAGGACCGGGGUACAAAAAGUAGUCACAGGGCAUUCUGGAAAACGGCCGGCAGAUAUACAUCAAACUCAAUAGAUGUGAUUCACAUUAAAAACAAUCAUAAGGUACAUUCAAACACUAAAUAUAAACACAUUUUUUGAUGGGUAUUUAACUUAUGCAGUUUUCAUGCUGUUUUAAUUCCAUUAGCUUCGUCCUUUUUGGAGAGAGAUAUUUUCCUGUGCAGAUCUCAUUGUUUCAAAGCUGAAGUGGUAUUAAAGUUGGCGAGGGGGCUGACACAAUCAUUCAGCAAUAUGGUAUCAUCCAAAUCCUACUUCAAAUAGAGAUCUUACUCAGCAAAGGUCAUCAGGUUGGGCUGCGCUAUGUUGGAAUGAACAGCUCAUUCGCUUUCUUUAUGAUAAUCAGGUCCCAAUUGCAUGGGCAGGUAUUCAAAGCUUUCUCAUGGAGUCUUCUACUUCUAAUUUUUGGACACUGAUUGGUACUCGAAUCACUAUCUUUUUUUGAGGUCCAUGCCUCCAAGCUUCAAGUUUACAUCUCUCGUUUUUGGAAGUUAAGAGACUAAGUUCUGAUCAUUCAAUCUUAUCGGAAUCGAUUCUUGCUCCUGUUUAAUGGCACGCAUGAUCUCCAGUUCAUUCUCAAGGAUGGUCCUUGGGUCCUUAAUGGUUGUUUAAUUCUGGUUCAGCGUUGGCAACUUUUUAUUUGAUUCCAGGAGGUUUGUUUUCAUCUAGUUCCCUUAUGGGUCCGAAUGUAUGGAUUGCCAAUUCAAUUUUACGCCGAGUCAUUUGCUUCUUUAAUUGGCAACCCUAUGGGUACUUUUCUCUGUUUUGAUGAUUCUAGCUUCCGGGGAUCAUUUGGAGUGAGAUUUCAAGUUCUCAUGGAUGUUUCUCAGCUUUUAAAGUUGUAAGGCGUUCUAACUUUUUCUGAUGGGCAUGCGUUCGACUUCUCCAUCUUCUACGAACGUCUUAACAGGAUCUGUUUCAACUGGCAUCAAAUCGGACAUGUUCAUCAGCAGUGUUCUAGUUCUUUUUCUAAGUUCUAUUUCAACUUCGCAAAAUCUUGGUUCCUUAAGCAUUUGCAUGAAGAUUCUGUCCGUGUGAAAUUUGAUUGGUCAUCUUAUUCCUAUGAGGUCUCUGAUUGGCGAACCUUAUUGUUCAGGAAUCCACAUGGGUCACUAUUUGUUUCUUCAAAUUUGGAACAUUCUUCAUGUUCGACAAAACCUGGUUCUUGGAUCUUGCAUGUAGAAGAUCAUUGUUCUAAGUUCAAUUCAGAAGGGACAGCUGUCGAGAUGCAUGAAGACCUUCCACAUCUUCGCUGUCACAAACGCAGACCCUCAGAUUUAUCCAACGGUUUGGAUUUGGCUAAUGCCCGUGGUUGAACGUACAUACUAUGACGUCACGCAUGUCUAUGAUUUUGAUGGAGGACCGAACUUCUCGCAUUUCAGGGAGAAUGGAUUUGUCACUUGUCCUGUUCACUGUGCACAUGCGGCUACGUCCGGUUCUGCUCUGCCAGCUGCAACUUAUCAUUUGCCUGAUAUCGAUUGUGUUAACGCAAAUCUAGCACUCUCUGGGUCAUCUUCACGCAAACAAAAACAAAAAAAAAAAAAAAUCCUUCAUUGGCUGUAAAAACACCGUCUCGAUGGAUGAUUCUCCUGGGGACCUUCAUGGGUAGCGGUAUCAUGAGGGUCCAACGUUUAGCGCUGCAUUUUUUAAUACUUUUGUUUGGCCUGUUUGUAAGUUUGUCGAGUCUGUGUUUUGUUUUUUUCUAGCUUGUAAUGAGGAUUGCUUGGUCAAAUGUUCCUACAAAAACAUGUUUUUAA